rnacentral:misc_RNA from 1 species
GAUGAAGAACGCAGCGAAAUGCGAUAAAUAAUGUGAAUUGCAGAAUUCAGUGAAUCAUCGAAUCUUUGAACGCACCUUGCGCCCUUUGGCCAUUCCGAAGGGCAUGCCUGUUUGAGUAUCAUGAACACCUCAACUCUUUAUGGUUUUCCAUGAUGAGCUUGGACUUUGGGGGUUUUGCUGGCCUAUGGUCGGCUCCUCUAAAAUAAAUCAGCUUACCGGUGUUUGGUGGGUAUCAUGGGUGUGAUAACUAUCUACGCUUGUGGUUUUUCCACCAGGUAACCUUCGACAGCGGAGGUUCACUGGAGCUCAUAGAUGUCUCUCCUCAGCGACGACAGCCCUUUGAAUGUUUGAUCUCAAAUCAGGUAGGACUACCCGCUGAACUUAAGCAUAUCAAUAAGCGGAGGA